UCGAAAUGGAUUUGAGGCGAAUGGAUUCGGAGUGGGCCAUGAUAGAUGCAUGAUAUAUUAAAGUAUGGUUUGGUUUGGGUCAUGCGCCAUGAGAAUAUGAAUGCAUGUCCCUUAUCAUAUACGUCUCGUAUAAUAUUGUCAAUUCCGUACUUCGUUCAAAAGAGAAAGAUACCACGAAAGAAAAAAGAAAAAAAGAAUAUGAUAACAUAUGUCUAUCUACGUCUGCCACAUAAUUGAUUAAUUUCAUAACGCAAAACAUAAGAUUAAUCUUUUUUUUUUUUUUAAAGAUAAGAUUAAUAUUAUAACGCACAACACCUUAAUAGCAUCUCGAUGAACAUAUUGGAAAAUGUCUAUAACAUAUAACUAAAAAGAAAAAUUAAUAUUAUAAAAUAUCUUUUAUUUAAGAAAAUAUGAGACACUAUGUUUAAG
rnacentral:lncRNA from 1 species